rnacentral:lncRNA from 10 species
UUCAAAAAGAAGAAAUAAAAACUUUCUUAGACAAACAAAAACUAAAAAUUCCCACCCAGUGGACUUGCUCUGCAAGACAUGUUAAAAGAAGGUCUUUAGGCGGAAGGAAAAUCAUGUGUAGAUCAGAUGCUUGAAUCUACAUAAAGAAUCUAUGGCCAUACCACCCUGAACGUGCCCAAUCUCGUCUGAAUCUACAUAAAGAAAAAAGAAAGCAUCAGAGAAGUAGUUCAUGAAGGUUGUGUUUUUUAAUAGUUGGAGGAGCGGAGAGAACAGGCGUAGUGGAGAGAGUAAAGAAGUGUGUAUGAAGGGGGAGACUUCAUUG